CCGUAGGCGGCCCUCUUUCUCCUUAGUUACUGGUCUUAAAGGGCGUUCAGGCGGUUGGCUAAGUUCGUUGUGAAAGCGCCCAGGCUUAACCGGGCGAGGACAAUGAAGACUGGUCAGCUAGAGGACGGUAGAGGGGUGUGGAAUUCCGGGUGUAGUGGUGAAAUGCGUAGAGAUCCGGAGGAACACCAGAGGCGAAGGCGACACCCUGGGCCGUACCUGACGCUAAGACGCGACAGCACGGGGAGCGAACGG
rnacentral:rRNA from 1 species